CGGGAAUUUACCAUCACCUCGAUUCAUGAGCGGUUUUUCAUCGACUUAUCUUUGAUUUAUUUGAAGGAAAAGACCCUGAUGGAUAAAAGAUGGAUAUUUUUUCCUGGAGAAGCUAAAACAAUGUCACUUUGAGGUUCUGAUACCAGCCUUUACAAAGUUAUUUACAGAGUUCACAAGACUUCUCUGUGUUAUUUACUGACCAUGCCGAAAAGCUAUUUGAAACUUGGGCACUGCAUUUUACAGACAGAAUCCUGCAACUUCCCAGCCAAGAACCAGGAGCAUCAACAAAUCACCUCCAG